UCAGGAUGAACGCUGGCGGCGUGCUUAACACAUGCAAGUCGAACGGUGAAGCCAAGCUUGCUUGGUGGAUCAGUGGCGAACGGGUGAGUAACACGUGAGCAACCUGCCCUGGACUCUGGGAUAAGCGCUGGAAACGGUGUCUAAUACUGGAUAUGAGCUCUCACUGCAUGGUGGGGGUUGGAAAGAUUUUUCGGUCUGGGAUGGGCUCGCGGCCUAUCAGCUUGUUGGUGAGGUAAUGGCUCACCAAGGCGUCGACGGGUAGCCGGCCUGAGAGGGUGACCGGCCACACUGGGACUGAGACACGGCCCAGACUCCUACGGGAGGCAGCAGUGGGGAAUAUUGCACAAUGGGCGGAAGCCUGAUGCAGCAACGCCGCGUGAGGGAUGACGGCCUUCGGGUUGUAAACCUCUUUUAGCAAGGAAGAAGCGAAAGUGACGGUACUGCAG
rnacentral:rRNA from 1 species